CCUAGAACUAGAGUUACAGAUGGUAAUGAGCUGUCACAUGGAAAUCAAACCCAGGCCCUCUGCAAAAACAGCCAGUGUGCUGAGCCACUGAGCCAGCUCUUUUCUGAGGAGAGCUGAGCCUGUUACCAGCGUGUCUUCUGGAUUCGUCCUACACAGUCUGACUUUGAUGUACCUGACUAAAAGUGUCCAUAAACCUACCACCUCAUGACUCCUUUUAAAUACUAUUUGUAAAGGAUUUUGUAUACAACUAUAAUGAGAAUUGCACCACAGAUAUGUGGUAUGAUCAUUACAAAACCACACGGGCCAGGCUGGAAAGGCGGCUCAGUGGUAAGAACACCCUUUCAGAGGUCCUGGGUUUGAUUCCCAGCACCCACAUCAGGACUCAACCACCUGUAACUCCAACUCCAAGAGGAUCCAACACCUCCAGCCUCCGUAGGCAAUCUGCACUCAUGUGCACUACCUGCACACACAUAAAUAGCAUAGACAUACUUAAAACAUAAAACAAGUGAACAAAACCCAUGCCAGCCUACAUCUAUAGCAACUGAGCCGCCUCUCUCAGGAUGAGCUGGGAACUUUAUCUUUUCCAUCCUAGUUUCACUGUGACCAUCUCAGGUAUUCCCUGGUUUUUUCUUGUUUUUUCCACUCUCUCUUAGUUCUGCAGGGAGCCCUCUUUGGCUCCUGAUACUAGUAAUUUGCGUCUUCCCUUUCUUCAUUUUAACAUAGCAUAUUUAAUUUCACACAUCAUUUUAUUAUUAAACUAACAUACAAAUGCUAGGUUUCCAAGUGGCAUUUUCAUACAUACCUGCCAUUGCACUUGGUUUUAUUCUUGUCCCUUCUACCCAGCCUACCCUCUUCUUUCUGGUCCCCUUCCUUCUUCCAGGUCCUUCCUUUUGGUUUCAUGUCAUUUGGAUUCCAUUACCUUUUCCACACCCACUAAGAUCUGUCUUACUUUGUGAUUCCGUCUAUUUGUGAGCCUGAGUGUACACACACACACACACUCCUCUAGAUUCCACAUAAAAGAACACACACAGCAUUUGUCUGUAUCUGGCUCAUUUUGCUUAACGUCAUAAUUGCCAGUUGCACCCAUCUUCUUGCAAAUACCAUGAUUUUAUUUCCACUACAGCUGAAAAAACGUCUUUGUGUGUUAUGUACCACGUUAUCCUCAUCCACUGAUAGUGACAUGGAACCUCUGCUGGUUCCCUUUCUUAGCUGUUGUUCUUAUGGCAGUAAUAAACAUGGAUGUGCAAAUAUAAUUUGAUGGGGAACAUUGACUUUUUUGCAUGAUUAUGAGCAAGGAAAUGCUAAUCAGCAUCCUACAAAAAACAUUCCCAGCCUAGAAGGUGGUAGCAGGUAGGUAGUGGGGUUUCUAGACACACAGAUUGCAGGCGAUAGGUGUGUGCUGAAGGGCCUUUUACUCAGAGGGCAUAGCAAAAGUCACAUGGUGUUAGUAGUAGGCUGUCUCAAAGAUAGGGACACAUCUUUAGAAAUAUCCUGAUUUUGGCUGGGCGGUGGUGGCAUAUGUGUUUAAUCCCAGCACUCAGGCAGAGUCAGGCGGAUCUCUCUGAGUUCAAAGCCAGCCUGGUCUACAGAGAGAGCUCCAGGACAGUCAGGACUGUUACACAGAGAACUUGUCUCGAAAAAAAAAAACGAGAGAGAGAGAGAGAGAGAGAGAAUAUUCUGAUUCCAUCCAGUGUGUGACUUUUACACAUUUACUACAGAGAGAGCUCCAGGACAGUCAGGACUGUUACACAGAGAACUUGUCUCGAAAAAAAAAAAGAGAGAGAGAGAGAGAGAAUAUUCUGAUUCCAUCCAAUGUGUGACU